GUGUCCCCCACUGGAGAGAGGCGCUCACCAAGAGCGCCCACCGAAGGAGCAAAUGCGGCAUCGCCCGCGUGAAUCUCUCAGGUAAAGCGGACAGUGAGGCAGCC
rnacentral:ncRNA from 2 species